ACAACUUUCAGCGAUGGAUAUCUCGGUUCAAGCAGUGAUGAAGGGCGCAGUGAAAUGUGAUAAUCAUUGUGAAUUGCAGAAUUCCGUGAACCAAUGGAUUCUUGAACGUGCAUUGCACUCUUGGGAUAACCCUGGGAGUAUGCUUGCUUCAGUGCUUGUG
rnacentral:rRNA from 1 species